rnacentral:rRNA from 1 species
AACGAACGCUGGCGGCAGGCUUAACACAUGCAAGUCGAGCGCCCCGCAAGGGGAGCGGCAGACGGGUGAGUAACGCGUGGGAACGUACCUUUUGGUUCGGAACAACUCCGGGAAACUGGAGCUAAUACCGGAUAAGCCCUAACGGGGAAAGAUUUAUCGCCGAAAGAUCGGCCCGCGUCUGAUUAGCUAGUUGGUGAGGUAACGGCUCACCAAGGCGACGAUCAGUAGCUGGUCUGAGAGGAUGAUCAGCCACACUGGGACUGAGACACGGCCCAGACUCCUCGGGGGGGAGGCAGUGGGGAAUAUGGGAAAAGGGGCGAAGGCCUGAUCCCGCCUUGCCGGGGGAGGGAUAAGGGCUUUGGGGUUGAAAGGCUCUUUUGCCCGGAAAGAUAAGGACUGAACCGAAAGAAUAAACCCCGGAUACCUCGGU